AGCUUAUUAGGAUAUAUAAUCCGUUGAAUUGUGGUUUCAAAAAUAUCUGUAAGAUAUAGGCUC
rnacentral:tRNA from 1 species